UGCAGUUUGUGUGGUGAAGGUGCUCCCACAAUGUGGUUGGAUUCUACCAUCUGCCGAGCUGGGAUGCGAGCAAGGACUUCAGUUGUACAUUUUAAUAUUCUGGAUAAAAGUUAAAUACAUUAGGAUACUACAGGUGGACAUUCAGAUGGUAAUCUCAGUCAUUGUAACACCUAACUCUGAUUGAAUUACUCAAUUCAUCAGGAGAUGAUAUUUGCAUUGUAUGAGAUGCCGAAAGAC